rnacentral:tRNA from 2 species
GGGACCUUGGCGCAGUUGGCUAGCGCGCAGGUCUCAUAUUCCCAUAUGAUCUGGUUAAAACAUCAGAGUAAUCCUGAGGUCGGGAGUUCGAGCCUCCCAGGUCCCA